AUCUCCACAGACGACCAGAAGCACGUGACCGCUUCUUCUUCUUCUUCUCUCGGUUUUACUGGCGGAUCUAAAACAACUAAAAGCCCCAGGCUCAGUGGCGGCGGGGUUCAACCCACAGAGAGCUCCUCAGACGCCCGGACCGGGGUGUUGGCGGUGCGGACAACCGGGUCACCUGCGCCGCGAGUGCCCGCUCAUGGAGGUGGGGCAGGUGGUUUGUGUUGUCGGCCCGCCCACCUCCGCUCCCGACCCAGACGGAGCGUACUGUAUUCCGGUAAGGAUUCAAGGGAGUGAACACCAGGCGCUGUUGGACUCAGGGG